UAGGGAAUAUUGCGCAAUGGCCGAAAGUCUGACGCAGCGACACCGUGUGAAGGAUGGAGGUCCUCGGAUCGUAAACUUCUGUCAAUUGGAGACGAAGGUACUUAGGGUUAAUAGCCUUAAGUAUUGACGGUACCCAAUAAGGAAGUCUCGGCUUACUCCGUGCCAGCAGCCGCGGUAAGACGGGGGAGGCAAGCGUUGUCCGGAAUUAUUGGGCGUAAAGAGCGCGUAGGUGGUUUAUCAAGUCAUUUGUGAAAACUUUAGGCCUAACUUAAAGAUUGCAAGUGAUACUGGUAUACUUGAGCACAGCAGAGGAAAGUGGAAUUCCUGGUGUAGCGGUGAAAUGCGCAGAUAUCAGGAAGAACACCAGUGGCGAAGGCGGCUUUCUGGGCUGUUGCUGACACUGAGGCGCGAAAGCUAGGGGAGCGAACAG
rnacentral:rRNA from 1 species